rnacentral:tRNA from 1 species
UCCUCGUUAGUACAGUGGUGAGUAUCCCGCCUGUCACGCGGGAGACCGGGGUUCGAUUCCCCGACGGGGAG